GGCCCCAUUGCUUGGCCUAGGCCGGCUAGCAGAAGGGGAACCUGAUUUGAGAUCAAUUCUUGGAGAACACAAAGAAGUGUGGUGGUAUGUUCCAGGAUUGAACCAGCUGCCCUUUGACCCUGCCAACAACAACGAACCCCUGCAAUUUGGUAGUGCCAGUGGCCCUCUGGUCCCAGAUGGCCUCAUUGAGAAUGGAGGGGAAUCAAGCAAGAAAAGAAAGAGAACAAAUACUCCUUCAGGUAAGCUAGGUGAUAAUGCACU